rnacentral:rRNA from 1 species
UGUAGUCGUUUGAUCGCCUGAGAUUUCGACGAAAGAUUUAUCGGUAUUGGAUGGGGGAUGCGUCUGAUUAGCUUGUUGGCGGGGUAAAGGCCCCACCAAGGCAACGAUCAGUAGGGGUUCUGAGAGGAAGGUCCCCCACAUUGGAACUGAGACACGGUCCAAACUCCUACGGGAGGCAGCAGUGAGGAAUAUUGGUCAAUGGGCGAGAGCCUGAACCAGCCAAGUAGCGUGCAGGAUGACGGCCCUAUGGGUUGUAAACUGCUUUUAUAUGGGAAUAAAGUGAGGGGACGUGUCCCUUAUUGCAUGUACCAUACGAAUAAGGACCGGCUAAUUCCGUGCCAGCAGCCGCGGUAAAU